rnacentral:rRNA from 1 species
GAUUAACGCUAGCGGCAGGCCUAAUACAUGCAAGUCGAACGGGAUUCAAAGUAGCAAUAUUUUGAUGAGAGUGGCGCACGGGUGAGUAACACGUAUGCAAUUUACCUUUAACUGGGGGAUAGCCCUCCGAAAGGAGGAUUAAUACCGCAUAAUAUAUUGAAAUGGCAUCAUUUUAAUAUUAAAACCUACGGGGGUUAAAGAUGAGCAUGCAUCCGAUUAGCUAGUUGGUGUGGUAACGGCUCACCAAGGCAACGAUCGGUAGGGGGUCUGAGAGGAUGAUCCCCCACACUGGUACUGAGACACGGACCAGACUCCUACGGGAGGCAGCAGUAAGGAAUAUUGGACAAUGGAGGCAACUCUGAUCCAGCCAUGCCGCGUGAAGGAUUAAGGCCCUAUGGGUUGUAAACUUCUUUUAGACGGGACAAAACCCCUUUACGUGUAAAGGGUUGAUGGUACUGUCAGAAUAAGCAUCGGCUAACUUCGUGCCAGCAGCCGCGGUAA